GAAAAAAAGACUCCAUGAGCCAGUUACGCCACUUCAGCACAAGGUCUUGAAUAGCCUAUACGAAUUCUCACAAGGAGAGAGACGACCCUUCUCUUACGUGGGACACGGAGAUGGAAGAAUGGUAGGACCGACUUUCAGACUUAGCCAAGGAACGACCGAGACCUCGAACAUGAGAAAGACUGACGCCUGAUUCAGGAAGGGACACGAGGGCUCCUCUUUCUCACUGGAAGAUCUUAAUAUUCUACAGUAGAAUAAGUCCCCAACCUUAAAAAUGAAGGAUCAAAAGUCUGCUUUCCAAAACCCACGCAAAUGGAGGCCGAUGCCCUCAGACCCAUAACAGGGGGAGAACGAAGCUUUUCCAUAUAGCAACUUCCUCCAUUAUAGGAGGCCUCUGUCAUUAGAAGAAGACCGCUUUGAAGCUAGGAGACCAAAAAAAAAUUACUAAACCAGCCAUCUACGCGGGUUGGCCACUAAAUAAGAAGGCCUCUACGAACGCUUUCACUAGAGAAAGAGAGAAAGGCCCGUUCGGCUAUGUAAAGAAGUCCCUGCAGGCUCCAACCCAGUCCUAACAUUCUACAAUAAUAGUGUCCGACGUCUAAUAGAAGGGGCACCGCUUUCAUUCCUGCUUGG
rnacentral:misc_RNA from 1 species